ACGUUCCCCCUCGUUUCUUUUGUUUCUUUCUUUUCCGCGUGUGCCGAACGUAAUUCGGUUCUGCCGACCGUGCGCAGAAGCAGAGAACUUCGUUUUAUCUUUUCGUCUUCUUUGCGCCUGCGUCGACAGAACUCUUUUGCUUUGUUCUUUGCUAUUUGCAAUCGUCACACGGAGUUUUUAUAAGUGAAAAUAAGUAAUCUGUGAUUAUUAUUAUUAUCAGCGGCGGUGAAGAUGAAAAUACCCGACGAGCCAGCAGAAAAAGUGAUUCGGAAGGCUAUUCACAACAUUAGUCAUAUUCAGAAGACCUCAAGAGAAAAAAAAUACAAAGCAGACAAUAAUGAAUAAUAAUAAAUAAAAAUAAUUGGAAAAAUAAA